AGUUGGUAAGGUAACGGCUUACCAAGGCGAUGAUGCAUAGCCGAGUUGAGAGACUGAUCGGCCACAAUGGAACUGAGACACGGUCCAUACUCCUACGGGAGGCAGCAGUAGGGAAUCUUCCACAAUGGGCGCAAGCCUGAUGGAGCAACACCGCGUGAGUGAAGAAGGGUUUCGGCUCGUAAAGCUCUGUUGUUGGAGAAGAACGUGCGUGAGAGUAACUGUUCGCGCAGUGACGGUAUCCAACCAGAAAGUCACGGCUAACUACGUGCCAGCAGCCGCGGUAAUACGUAGGUGGCAAGCGUUAUCCGGAUUUAUUGGGCGUAAAGCGAGCGCAGGCGGUUGCUUAGGUCUGAUGUGAAAGCCUUCGGCUUAACCGAAGAAGUGCAUCGGAAACCGGGCAACUUGAGUGCAGAAGAGGACAGUGGAACUCCAUGUGUAGCGGUGGAAUGCGUAGAUAUAUGGAAGAACACCAGUGGCGAAGGCGGCUGUCUGGUCUGCAACUGACGCUGAGGCUCGAAAGCAUGGGUAGCGAACAGGAUUAGAUACCCUGGUAGUCCAUGCCGUAAACGAUGAGUGCUAGGUGUUGGAGGGUUUCCGCCCUUCA
rnacentral:rRNA from 1 species